rnacentral:lncRNA from 1 species
GACUGGAUACAGCACUUCAGAUGUGAUCUCACAAGUGCCAAAUAGAGGGGAUUAAUCACUUCCCAUUGUCUGCUGGCUAUGAUCCUGUCAACAGAGCGUAAUAUGCAGGAAAUACUUAUGCAAAUCAGCACUCCAUAUAUGAAGAGUUAAGAUCAUAUCAUCUCUUGUUUAAGCUAAUCCAAAAGUAAAUGAGGAACUUAGGAAAAGAUUGCCAACUCCAAAUCAACACAGUUACACAGAAUUGAAAAAGAAGCAUACAGCUUCAUUUGAUGGGUUCUUGCAAGGAACUCAGUGUUCUGCGAUAUGAGCUCUGAAAUCUUCAAGCACAAACUGGACUCAAUGCCAGGUCAAACAAGUUCAGGAGAAGAAAUGGAGAACUGGUCAAAAGAAACACGCAUCCUGGAACUGAAGAAAGAAGACUUUUGUGUUGAGUUUCAGCUUCAUCAGAAUUUUCAAAAAACCCCAGAAUUUUUCAUCCCGGCAGAAGCUGAAGCAUGGAAACUUUCAGAUUUGCCAGUAACCGGUCAAAGAGGAGCAGCCCCCAAUGAUUGUAAUUCCAGUCCUGAAGAGUCAAGGUAAAAACAAAUAUCCCUAUAUAUAGUUUUUCUAGAUUCAAAUUAUAG